rnacentral:rRNA from 1 species
GUGAGGAAUAUUGGUCAAUGGGCGAGAGCCUGAACCAGCCAAGUAGCGUGCAGGAUGACGGCCCUAUGGGUUGUAAUCUGCUUUUACACGGGGAUAAAGUGUGCGACGUGUCGUUCAUUGCAGGUACCGUGCGAAUAAGGACCGGCUAAUUCCGUGCCAGCAGCCGCGGUAAUACGGAAGGUCCGGGCGUUAUCCGGAUUUAUUGGGUUUAAAGGGAGCGUAGGCCGUCUGUUAAGCGUGUUGUGAAAGGUAGAUGCUCAACAUCUGAAUUGCAGCGCGAACUGACCGACGUGAGUGCGCAGGAAGUAGGCGGAAUUCGUGGUGUAGCGGUGAAAUGCUUAGAUAUCACGAAGAACUCCGAUUGCGAAGGCAGCUUACUGUAGCGCCACUGACGCUGAAGCUCGAAAGUGCGGGUAUCGAACAGGAUUAGAUACCCGAGUAGUCC